CGUCACACCAUGGGAGUUGGUUGCACCAGAAGUAGGUAGCCUAACCGCAAGGGGGGCGCUUACCACGGUGUGGCUAAUGACUGGGGUGAAGUCGUAACAAGGUAGCCGUACGGGAACGUGCGGCUGGAUCACCUCCUUUCUAU
rnacentral:rRNA from 1 species